rnacentral:rRNA from 1 species
CCUACGGGGUGCAGCAGUGGGGAAUAUUGGGCAAUGGAGGCAACUCUGACCCAGCAACGCCGCGUGAAUGAUGAAGGCCUUCGGAUUGUAAAGUUCUGUGAUGGGGGAUGAACCCAAUGACGGUACUCCAAUAGCAAGCCAUGCCUAACUACGUGCCAGCAGCCGCGUUAAUACGAAGGUGGCAAGCGUUAUCCGGAAUGAAUGGGCGAAAAGUGUUCGUAGGUGGUUUAGUAAGUUGACGGUGUAAUUCCGGGGCUCAACCUCGGCGCUACCGCCAAAACUAUUAGACUAGAGUGCAGGAGGGGUAAGUGGAAUGCGUAGUGUAGCGGUGGAAUGCGUAGAUAUUAGGAGGAACAUCAGGGGCGAAGGCGACUUACUGGACUGUAACUGACGCUGAGGCACGAAAGCGUGGGGAGCAAACAGGAUUAGAUACCCUUGUAGUC